ACCAGACUCCUACGGGAGGCAGCAGUGGGGAAUAUUGCACAAUGGGGGGAACCCUGAUGCAGCGACGCCGCGUGGGUGAAGGAGCACCUCGGUGCGUAAAGCCCUAUCGGCAGGGAAGAAACAGACGGUACCUGACUAAGAAGCCCCGGCUAACUACGUGCCAGCAGCCGCGGUAAUACGUAGGGGGCAAGCGUUAUCCGGAUUCACUGGGUGUAAAGGGAGCGCAGGCGGUUCUGCAAGUCUGAUGUGAAAGCCCGGGGCUCAACCGCGGGACUGCAUUGGAAACUGCGGGACUGGAGUGUCGGAGGGGUAAGCGGAAUUCCUGGUGUAGCGGUGAAAUGCGUAGAUAUCAGGAGGAACACCGGUGGCGAAGGCGGCUUACUGGACGAUGACUGACGCUGAGGCUCGAAAGCGUGGGGAGCAAACAGGAUUAGAUACCCUAGUA
rnacentral:rRNA from 1 species